rnacentral:rRNA from 1 species
UAGGGGUACGGCUGGAAAAACCGCCGUGCAACCCAAAGGUGUGACGCAUACCGAACUAAAGUAGGGAAAUGUGUGAGCCGGCUGCCGAGAAAAGCCGCUAUUGUUUGUACUGUACCCGUACCGCAAACCGACACAGGUGGAUGAGGAGAGAAUCCUAAGGCCGACGGAAGAAGCAUUGCUAAGGAACUCGGCAAAAUGACCCUGUAACUUCGGGAGAAAGGGUGCCUCGAAAGAGGCCGCAGAGAAUAGGCCCAAGCAACUGUUUAGCAAAAACAUAGGUCUAUGCAAAACCGCAAGGUGAAGUAUAUGGGCUGACGCCUGCCCGGUGCUGGAAGGUUAAGGGGAGAUGUCAGGAGACGAAGCAUCGAACUUAAGCCCCAGUAAACGGCGGCCGUAACUAUAACGGUCCUAAGGUAGCGAAAUUCCUUGUCGGGUAAGUUCCGACCCGCACGAAAGGCGUAAUGAUUUGGGCGCUGUCUCGGCAAUGCAUCCGGUGAAAUUGAAGUGCCAGUGAAGAUGCUGGCUACCCGCGCCAGGACGGAAAGACCCCAUGGAGCUUUACUCCAGCUUGAUACUGGGAUUCGGUAUUGUAUGUACAGGAUAGGUGGGAGGCUGAGAAAUGGUGACGCCAGUCGCCAUGGAGCCGCUGUUGGGAUACCACCCUUGCAGUACUGGAUUUCUAACCAGCAGCCGUGAUCCGGCUGGGGGACAAUGUCAGGUGGGGAGUUUGACUGGGGCGGUCGCCUCCGAAAGGGAAUCGGAGGCGCUCAAAGGUUCCCUCAGAAUGGUCGGAAACCAUUCGAAGAGUGCAAAGGCAGAAGGGAGCUUGACUGCGACACCGACGGGUGGGGCAGGUACGAAAGUAGGACUUAGUGAUCCGGUGGUAUUAAGUGGGAAUGCCAUCGCUCAACGGAUAAAAGCUACCCUGGAUAACAGGCUUAUCACUCCCAAGAGUUCACAUCGACGGAGUGGUUUGGCACCUCGAUGUCGGCUCAUCGCAUCCUGGGGCUGUAGUAGGUCCCAAGGGUUGGGCUGUUCGCCCAUUAAAGCAGUACGCGAGCUGGGUUCAGAACGUCGUGAGACAGUUCGGUCCCUAUCCGGCGUGGGCGUAGGAUAUUUGAGAGGAGCUGACCCUAGUACGAGAGGACCGGGUUGGACUGACCUCUGGUGCACCGGUUGUCAUGCCAAUGGCACUGCCGGGUAGCCAAGUCGGGAAGGGAUAAACGCUGAAGGCAUCUAAGCGUGAAGCCCCCCUCAAGAUGAGAUAUCCCCCGCAUAAGCGGUAAGACCCCUUGAAGACGACGAGGUAGAUAGGGCAGAGGUGGAAGUGCAGUAAUGUAUGGAGCUGACUGCUACUAAUAGGUCGAAGGCUUAACUA